GACGAACGCUGGCGGCGUGCCUAAUACAUGCAAGUAGAACGCUGAAGGGAGAGCUUGCUCUUCUGGAUGAGUUGCGAACAGGUGAGUAACGCGUAGGUAACCUGCCUGGUAGCGGGGGAUAACUAUUGGAAACGAUAGCUAAUACCGCAUAACAUUGACUAUUGCAUGAUAGUCAAUUGAAAGGUGCAAAUGCACCACUACCAGAUGGACCUGCGUUGUAUUAGCUAGUUGGUGGGGUAACGGCUCACCAAGGCGACGAUACAUAGCCGACCUGAGAGGGUGAUCGGCCACACUGGGACUGAGACACGGCCCAGACUCCUACGGGAGGCAGCAGUAGGGAAUCUUCGGCAAUGGACGGAAGUCUGACCCGAGCAAACGCCCGCGUGAGUGAAAGAAAGGGUUUUUCGGGAUUCGUAAAAGC
rnacentral:rRNA from 1 species